UACGAAGGGGGCUAGCGUUGUUCGGAAUUACUGGGCGUAAAGCGCGCGCAGGCGGUCUUCCAAGUCAGUGGUGAAAGCCCGGAGCUCAACUCCGGAACUGCCAUUGAAACUGUUAGACUUGAGGAUGAGAGAGGUGAGUGGAAUUCCCAGUGUAGAGGUGAAAUUCGUAGAUAUUGGGAGGAACACCAGUAGCGAAGGCGGCUCGCUGGGCCACACCUGACGCUGAGACGCGAAAGCUAGGGGAGCGAACGG
rnacentral:rRNA from 1 species